ACCACCUGAAGAGUCCGGGUCCGGCUCGGCGGCGCCAUGCCGGGACAUGCUCAGCCUGCGAGAGAGGCGCAGCGCGCGGGAACAAGGGGCCCCUGAGCUUCGCCCCCGCCUCCUCCGAGCCCCCGCCGCGGCCGCGACGAAGGGCGGACCCAGGCCCCUGAGGCGGGGCGGCGGCCUUGAGCCCCGCGCGGGCAUCAGCGCUCGGCCUCUGGUCUCUUCGGCCGCCUCCUUGUUUCUUCAGCGAGCGCCGCGUGCCGAGCACCGGCCGUGAGGGCCCCGCCGCAGCCCAGCGCCCGUCAGCGCCCUGCCGGGGGGGGCUUCGCGUGUCUCCCGCCCACAGCGGCUCGUCGCCCGGCUUCUGAGCGUCCGCCCGCCCUGCCCUGCCCUGCCCCUCGGCGCUGUCGGCGCGGGCUGGCUGUCUCUGGCAGCGAUCCGAAGAGCUAAAGACACUCGUGUCGCGUGUCCCCACGGCCUUGCUCUGUGGUCACAGCCCAGCCGCAGCUGGGUCGGUUCCUCAGCCGCGGAAGUCACGCCGCGCGGGAAGCUCGCUCACCGUUCAGCUCUCCGCUCGCUGCUGCUAGGGCUGCUGAGAAGGCGGGAUGGAUCCCAGCGCCUCGUGGGUCCGGGCUCACGGUGCCAGGCGGCACUGCUUUCCGUCCCUGCGCGCCCGUCUUCGGUUCGCAGCAUUUUUCAACAUCCCUUGUUUUCUGCUCACCCCCCACGGAUCCCGCAUUGCUUUCCCAUGCUCUGCCAGCUGUCAGUAGUGCAUGGCAAACGGCAGUGCCGUUAAGCUUGAAGUUCUGAAGUCAACAGGAAUCACAGUUGCCUGACAUGCUAACACUGAUAGGAUCAACGUUAGAUUGCUUCUGACAUUCACGGAGCAGCUGCACACAAUGGAUUGUUGCUUCUGGGCUCCUGAAACAAGCACUGAGUGGUGGGAUCGCGUAGUUAUGCAGGUGUGGGAUGACGAGAACUUUCAGAUGAGGAAAGCUACUUUCCUGGAACUGUGUGCUGAGCUUGCCCUAGCCCUGGUGCAGGGACACCCAAAUGAGAGCUGCCCUCUCACUGGAGAAGCAUGUGGCGAUCACAGCACGGAAGCUGGCCACUCCAGACAGCUACUGUUCAGUCACAAAUCAGUUUGGAGUCAGGAAGUUGACCUUUAGGGCUGCGUUAACGCAAGUGUGCAGGGCCAUUAAUUACACCAUGCUGCAAAGAACCGUGACUCUUGGUAAUGAGUGUGAAAUAGUGGAUGGCUUUGCAGCAAUGGUUUUCCCUAACUGCAGAGAGGUGAUAGAUGGCAUGUCUAUUCCAAUUUUGGCACCAGACAGUCUUGCGAUGGAGUAUAUCAAUAGGAAGGGGUAUUUUUCCGUGGUGGUGCAGGCACUUGUGGGUUUCACUGACAGCAACGCAGGGUGGUUGGGAAAGGUGCAUGACUUUCAUAUCUUCAGGAACACAGCCUGUACAGAAAGCUGAAAGUGGAGGCUUUUUUUCCCCCAGACCCGAAAAUUACAGUAGGGGAUGUUGAAAUGCCCAUAGUGAUUUUGGGAUCCUCUGUGUACUCCUUAAUGGCAUGAGUCAUGAAGCCUUACACGGGAAACCUAGGUAGCAGUAAGGAGUGGUUCAGCAACAGGCUGAGUAGGUGUAGGAUGCCAAUAGAAUAUGCAUUUGGCAGAUUAAAGGUGCGCUUGUGAUGCCUUUAGGGCAGGUUAGACCUAAAUGACGAUAAUAAUCCCAUGGUCAGAGUCCUGUGUUGCACAAUAUUUGUGCAGGUAAGGAUGAAAAGUUUGCUCAGGGGUGGACUGCUGGGGGGGGUGAACGCCUGGCAGCUACUUUUCAGCAGCCAGAUACCAGGGCUGUUAGAGGGACACAGGAGACUAUUUGAAUCAGGGACACUUUGAAGAUGAGAACCAGUAAUGAAUGUUGCUAUACUAUGGACUACAGUGCUUAAUGCAAUCGAUGUUUGCAAGGCAGCACUUGUGAUUUUUGUGGCCUAGGAUUCAAUGUAAAGCAAUGAAAUCAUUUGCUGGGGAAAAAAUAAAAAGAGUUAUCAUUCAAAAAACUUUGCAGUUAUUGCACCAAAAAAAAAAAAAAAAUCUUCACACCACAAGCACCAAUGCUUGAGGAGGGCGAGGGGGUACUAAGGGAGGGCCAACUUUCACAGCUGUGCUUAAGUCCAGCUCUCAUUUAAAAAGGUUUCCAUGGGGGUGUAGUGAGGGGGAUAGUGAGAAACGCCAGACAGCAGAAAGGAAUUUGUGGGUGAAUUUUGGGGAGGGCAUGGGAGAGAGUUCUGAAUGUGCUGAAGGGGACAGUGGGCAUGCAUCUGUUCACGCUGGAGCGUUAUAAGAGCCUGUUUUGCUUCUCCAUCACUUUAAUUAUCCCUUCCAUUGCAGCCACAGAAUAGGCCUCAUUUUCUGCUAUUUCCUGACUCUUUCCCUCCUCUGCCUGCAUUCCUUGUUUUGGCAUCUGAGCAUUCCAUCACCGGCAGGAACAUGUCUUCCUUGCUCUGUCUCAGGCACUUUUUAGCCAGUGGAGGCACUCCACAGGUAUGUAGGGGAUGCCUGUCAAGGCCACAGCUGAAGCAGCACAAAUACACAGAGGCAUGAUUGUUAACUACAUGUACAGCAUUGAAACAGGGUAGAAAAUACACCUCUGCUAACAUACUUUCACAUUGAACCUUGACAAGUCCACGUGCCACCAAACACCCCAGGCAUGGUGAGUUUCCCCUGGGGCGGGGAGCAUUGUACUGGGGGAGAAAAUCCAAGAGAAGUGGUCUAGGGACAAUAUUCUAGAUUUUCCCACCCUUUUCAACAGGCAGGGUUCAUUGUGCCAGACAUCUCACUCCUGAGGGUAAGCAGGGAAAAGGAGCAUCUACUACAAGCUUGCAGCUUCUGCCCUGGCCCCUAUACUGGUCGCCUGUGUGCCAGUUUGGUAUCUAUGCAAGUGAUUGCAGAAUGGUGUGGGAAAGUUUCCUUCAAUGGGGGAAGGAACAAAGCAGCUCUGCCAAGGAACCUUUGGCAGAGAAUUGCCAAGUACCUCCAGGAAAGUUUCCUAGAGAUAUCUCUGGAGGAUUCCCGUGAAAUCUCAGUGUGCAUCAACACCCUGUUCUGCCAUACUGCCUAGCUGCACAGGGAAAAGUCCAGCAGAGAACCACAGCCAGCCUUCUACAUUUCUAUGCCCUCAACACACCACCUCACUUCACAAAGAUAAACCACUUACCAGGAGUCCCCUCUCCUGCUUCUUGCUUGCUGGAUUGCGACUGCCAAGACUGGCUAGACACCUCUGGAGUGGAGAACAGUUCCUGACUGGACACACCAGCGGGCAACCCCAAGGUGGGCUCCACAUUGUUCUCUGCCUCUACCUCUUCAUCGUCACUGUUAGGUCCACUUUCUACCAGCCCCAGACCUGCCGAAGUAUCCAUGGGGAUCUUAGCGGUGGAGGUGGGGUGGCCACAGAGGAUAGCGUCCAACUCCUUAUAAAAAUGGCAAGUCUGGGGCUCAGCACUGGAACAACGGUUUGCCUCCCUUGCCUUCUGGUAUGCCUGCCUCAGCUCCUUGACCUUUGCUCUGCUCUGCACCGUAUCCUGAUCAUAGCCCUUCUUACACAAGCUUCAAGAAAUCUGCCCAUAGGUAUCAAAAUUCUUAUGGCUGGAGUGCAGUUGGGACUGUACAGCAUCCUCUCCCCAACUUCUGAGCGGAUCUAGUAGCUCCGCAGUGGUCCAAGCGGGAGAGCAUCUGCUGCAUGGAGCCACCCUGGUCGGCUGGGAAGAUGUGAUGUAAGCUCUCCACACCGAGCAAACAAGAAGUAGAAUUUCAAAAAUUCCUGGCGUUUUAAAGGGGGAGGUUGCUUACCUGGCUGCAGGGUAGCAGAGUUGCAACUAAGUGCUGACCAGAGCAGUCAGGAUGGGCAUUGUGGGACGCCUUCUGGAGGCCAAUUAAAGUGAUAAAAAUCAA